GGCUUCUCUCAAUACUUCCUACUAAC
rnacentral:piRNA from 1 species